AGCGAACGCUGGCGGCAGGCUUAACACAUGCAAGUCGAGCGGGCAUAGCAAUAUGUCAGCGGCAGACGGGUGAGUAACGCGUGGGAGCGUACCUUUUGGUUCGGAACAACUGAGGGAAACUUCAGCUAAUACCGGAUAAGCCCUUACGGGGAAAGAUUUAUCGCCGAAAGAUCGGCCCGCGUCUGAUUAGCUAGUUGGUGAGGUAAUGGCUCACCAAGGCGACGAUCAGUAGCUGGUCUGAGAGGAUGAUCGGCCACAUUGGGACUGAGACACGGCCCAAACUCCUACGGGGGGCAGCAGUGGGGAAUAUUGGACAAUGGGCGCAAGCCUGAUCCAGCCAUGCCGCGUGAGUGAUGAAGGCCCUAGGGUUGUAAAGCUCUUUUGUGCGGGAAGAUAAUGACGGUACCGCAAGAAUAAGCCCCGGCUAACUUCGUGCCAGCCGCCGCCGUAAAAC
rnacentral:rRNA from 1 species